AUCGCUUCUCGGCCCUAUGGCUAAGAUCAAAGUGUAGUAUCUGUUCUUAUCAGCUUAAUAUCUGAUACGCCCCGCAUGCGGGGCCAGUAUAUUAAACUGAUUUUUGGAAAUUGACGGCGGUUAGGGGCUUGCUCCACCGCCGUCGCGGGUUGGCCCGGUAUUGCAGUACCUCCGGGAUCGGCCCACUUUAU